UACGUAGGGGGCAAGCGUUGUCCGGAAUUAUUGGGCGUAAAGCGCGCGCAGGCGGUCAAUUAAGUCUGGUGUUUAAGGCUGGGGCUCAACCCUAGUUCGCACUGGAAACUGGUUGACUUGAGUGCAGAAGAGGAAAGUGGAAUUCCACGUGUAGCGGUGAAAUGCGUAGAUAUCCGGAGGAACACCGGUGGCGAAGGCGGCUUCCUGGACCG
rnacentral:rRNA from 1 species